UUUUGGCUUUCAAUGAAGAGAGAUGACGGUGCAUGUGUAAAGCGUGCUUACAAAAUUUUUUGAAAAUUUUCUUUCGGCACUGGCAACUAGAAUUGGACACUAGGCCUAGGUGGCAGAUAUUUCGACAUUUGUCUAGCUACCUAUACCGGAUAUCUACACAAAGGAUUCAUGCUUUUAUUGGAUUAUACAGACGCUGAUUUCAGUUUUUUACUGUCUUCAGACUUCAGCCUCAGGAAUUGUUGCCGUAGAACUAAGACUAAGUUAGCUGUGCCGAUUUGUGGACCUAAAAGAUUCAGUUUGCAACUUCAGGAUUGAAUUUUUUCUUGGCGGUUCGCUUGAUUGAACUUUGGAGGUGAUUGCAUCCAGGAUUCAUUGGACUUGGGCUGAGUGACGGAGCUUCGAGUCUAACUCUAGUUUCGCGAGUUGAUCAUGCCAAAGGUUAAGGCCAAGAAAAUAACGACCGCAGGUGCGAGGAGGGAGAUGACACACCGAAGAGGAGGCCGGGUCGGCCGAGAGGUCCACGGGCGACGUCAACCCCCGCAAGUGUGGAUCUGGGGCUGGGAGGCGGCAACAACGGGCCAGGAAGGAGCGGACCUGUGGUGUGGAUCAUAGGGGACUCGAUAGUGUUUUGGGCACAUCGCAGGGCGAAGAACACCGGCGAGGCUGACCUUGGACUUGGAACGUCGGUCCGCUGGUUGGG